GACGAACGCUGGCGGCGUGCUUAACACAUGCAAGUCGAGCGGUAAGGCCCUUUCGGGGGUACACGAGCGGCGAACGGGUGGGUAACACGUGGGUGACCUGCCCUCAGCUCUGGGAUAAGCCUGGGAAACCGGGUCUAAUACUGGAUAUGACUCCAUGACGCAUGUUGUGGGGUGGAAAGCCUUGUGCGGCUGAGGAUGGGCCCGCGGCCUAUCAGCUUGUUGGUGGGGUGAGGCCUACCAAGGCGACGACGGGUAGCCGGCCUGAGAGGGCGACCGGCCACACUGGGACUGAGACACGGCCCAGACUCCUACGGGAGGCAGCAGUGGGGAAUCUUGCGCAAUGGGCGAAAGCCUGACGCAGCGACGCCGCGUGAGGGAUGACGGCCUGG
rnacentral:rRNA from 1 species